ACGGCUGGGACCCUGCAGACAGGUCCCGGGGGCCCAGGCGGCCUCUCGGCGGCCUCUGGGGGCAGUGUCCGCGGGACCACACUGCAAGUUUCGGGGUGCGAGGUCCCCGCCUGCAGGGCGUGAAGCCUGCGGCAUCGGGACCACGGCGGGCGUGUAACGGGGUCCGAGCGUGCCGCCUCGCCCCCCGGCUGCAGCGGCCAGGCCUGGGAGGCCCCCCGCCGUCCCUCCCGAGUCGCAGAGGGGGCCUUGAGCUCCCUGGCGACGACGGCCCUGCAGCUCCCAGAGGACGCGUCCAGAGGGGACUCCCAGCAGACGCCGCGAGGACGCAGGAGGCGAGGCCGGGGCUGUGCCCGGGCAGGCGGCGGAGCGGGGACGGGCCAGGAGGUGAACGCGUGGGGGUGCACGUGGUCCCGGAGAGGGCGUCCCCACCGAGCAGGAUCCCGCGCGCGAGGCACAGCCGAACGUGCAGGACACGCUGCCACCCACUGCGAGGCGCCGUGGCCACCCGGAGGUGACCACCUCCCGCCUGAGAAGCUGGAAGAACGCACCAGAACCAGAAACGAGGAAAUCGUAAAGGCAAACUUCGGCGGAACGGAAGCCCCAGGAGCACGAACAGAACCCCCAGCCCGUGCUGCACCAUCCGGGUCGCAGCCCCGCACUCGGUCGGGACACACGGUCCUGGGGGAGGCGCCUCCCGGGCCUGGGGCGCCACCAGCGCGCGAGCAGAGCAGCCGGCGUCCCAGGGAGGCGAUGGGCCCCCCGCGUGCUGGGCGAGCCCGGAGAGAAGGGCCAGCACCUGCGCUUUGGACAGCCCGCUGGCCUGGCCCGGCCCAGCCUGGGGCUCGUUUGGUUGGAGCAUCGCCCCGUCACCAAAAGGUUGCAGAACAGCGACGAGGAAACAAGCCCUCAGGUGGGGACCAGAGCCCCCGUGAGCUUUGUUCUGCCUGAACUCUCGAAGGUUCUGCGUGCGGCCCGUUGAGGGGGACCGGGCCGUGGUUGCCAGGCUCCCGCCGCCUCUGGAGAGGGGCCUGCCUCGGGGUCCACCGCGCCCCCCUCUGCGGGGUGCGCCCCCCCCUUCCCUUCGGCUGCUCUGCAGGUCCCAUCUUCCUCGCGGGUGCCCGGAACCCUGGCCGCGCGGGCCCCUGGGAGGCGCCCACGUGAUUCUCCUGCCGCGUGGGGCCGGCACCCAGUCCCCCGAGCCCCGCCAGCCAGGGCUCUGCUCCCGUCCUGCUGAGCCGACGGCCUCGACCUGGCCCCUGCGACUCCUCCGCCCACCGUCUGUCCCCUGGGGGUCGUCCUGGAGCCGCCGCCAUCCCCGGUCUCCGGCUGCCCCGCUCCUCCUCCCGGCACCGGCACCGGCACCAGCACCGGGGUGAGGCGGCCGCAGAGCCCCGCGGCGUU